CCUCAAUCUGGCUCUCAGGAAGCUACAAGAUCUGAUUCUCAAAACUGACACAGCUCUCGACUAGUGUUUUCUUUAACAGAUAUGUACUUUAAUUUUGUGCCUUAUUUUCACAGGGAAUCCAGAAUUUGUCUUUCACAUAGGUUAGAUCUGACAAUGCAAAAGAAAAAGAUUUCUUAUGUUUCCAUAUGUAUGAAGGCAGUUUGACUGUAUUGAUUGUCUGCAUGGGAGUUGGAAGCAGGGACUAAACAUGACAAGAAAACUGGAUGUGGACAUUUAGAUCAGUCUGUGUCUAAGGAUUACCGUCAUAACAUGCUGUGAGCAGUAGCUGUUCUGAGGUCAACGCUGAGUGCACAAGUUGCCCAACCUGAACUAAGAUCAAGUGAUCAAGUGAUCAACAAGCAACAACAACAACAACAACAACAACAACAACAACAAACACAGGUAUUGCCUUUCGUUUUUUUUAAACACAGGGUUUAUACCAAAUAGAC
ensembl:lncRNA